rnacentral:lncRNA from 1 species
GAUUACCUGGGAGUAGAGCUCAGGCCUUGGUGUUCUUUAAAAUCUCUCUGGCUGCUUCUUAUGUGGUUGAGAACCACUGCAUUAGAUAUUACAUACAACAAACAAGAGAAUCACCGACCAGGCAUCAAGGGGCUCACAGUGCAAACUGUAGGGCUCUGUGGAAAUGUGCUUAUUUCUCCAGGUGACCUUGACUGAUCUUCACAACCAGCCCGGGAGAGCGUUGUUAUUGCUCAUUUUGCAGAUAAGACAGCUGAGGAAUCAGGUUUCCUCAUUCCAGGACUCCUUUCACAUUACCGAGCAACACACAGAGGAAUUGGACUUGAGAAGAGGCUCACUGUACAUCAUAACUGCGCCAUGGCAGUAUCAAGAGCCAAAGGAACAAAUGGGGGAGAGCCUAGAUGGAUCUACUUGUCGCAAGCAUCCACCAGCCAGCUGAUGUCCAUCAGUGUUCCUAAAACCGUGCCGAUGUGAUCGACUGCUUGUUUAAUUGUUUUCUUUAAGGGCUUUUCUAGGCAACUGAGCCGUGCGGCCAGAAUAGUAAGCACAUAAUUAAAAGAUCACCUUGUCAGGCUCAACAAUUGGCAUUGGGAUAUGCUCACAACCCCUAAGAAGAAUACAAUUUAUUGUGCAAAUUCUUAGGCUGUGAAUAAUGGUUAGUACCAGCAGGUUGGCUGACUUGCUGACCAUUAAUUAAUGGUCAAUAGGUGUUUGAGACGCAGCCUGUGUUAAUAGAAAGAAAGGAAGACAGGUGCAGCAUGUGGCUAAACAGUGGGCCAAACUCAGAGGCUUUGAAAUCUAAUUCCCUCUCUGGGUGGCUGUUGAGCCUUAUAAAACCUUUGCCUUGUUAGGUUACGCAUACAGUUUUGCCUAUUCGAGUGCGGGCUGUAACAUUCCCAAGGUGGCCUCAGAGAUACUAGGUCUAGUUUCCCAAGUGCUGGUCCUUUGGGAAGCAAGAAUUACUCUUCAUAACCAGAUUUACUAGCCCUGUGCUUCUCCUUUCUGCAACUUUGGCCUGGACUCAUCUCUGUCAGCUCUUCCAGCCAUUCCUCUUCCCCACACCUGGUGUCUGUCACCAAUAAAACUCAACCCUCUCAUUUUGCAAAUGAGGAGACUGAGAUCCAAAGACAGACCAGACCAAAGCCAAGUAGAGAGUGAUAGAGCUAGGACCAGCCUAGUCUCCUGGCCCUACCCCAGUGUUCUGUCAGGACAGAAAUAACCAGGAUUGCAAAGCAUUUGCACCUGUAGAUCCCAUUCCAAAGUCUAACUAGAGCAACUCACAGCGACCAGACUCAUUUAAGUGGCCCUUGGGCAUGAGUCCAACGUUGGGCAAAAGCAUGAUGUAAGCAGGGCUAGCCUUGUGGUCAAGUGGUUACAUUCUUGCGUUACACUUCGGUGGCCCAGGGUUUCGCCAAUUUGCAUCCUGGGCGCAGACCUAGCAGUGCUCGUCAAGCCAGGCUGAGGCAGCGUCCCACAUAGCUCAACUAGAAGGAUCUACAACUAGAAUAUACAACUAUGUACUGGGGAGCUUUGUGGAGA